CCGCUUCCGGCGAGCUCCGGCACCGCGCAACAUGUACCCGAGCUCCCCACAGUCCGCGCCUCCCUCCCCCGCGGCCAGAUUCUCCGCUCCCGGCAUCUAUCGCCCGCUCGCAGCCCCGCCCCCAUGGCUAGGGUUUCGAGCAGGGCUUCGCCGGUGCAUCUCCCGCUCGCCGUCUUCUCCCACCACGCCGGCCUCCCUUCGCUAGGCACCCUCGCACCUUUCGGCACCCUCGCACUGGGCAUUCCUUUCUCUCCCCCUCACGGCUCCUCCCGUCGCCGAACUGGAGCACCAGCCGAUUUGGGGCAGCAAUGCCACGAGCUAACACCCCUGCGUGGGCUUGCUCAAUCUGGGGCAGACGCGCCAGUUCUGGCGUGGAGAGAGGAGGAAGGUGAGACGGGAGGCCAAGGCAACGGCGAGAUCCACGUCGAGCUGCCAUGGCCAUGACCUGAUCCACGACGAGGUUAAAUGGGGGCGGCUGCUUCCUAAAGGACGACGAAGCUCUCCAAGGGUGGGCCUUCUGUUCUCCCCGAGAAUGAUGUACCCGUGGCAUGAUUGCUCUUCAUGUGUACGUGCUUGCUGUAUUUACCUGCAUCUGAUGGUUCUUCCAAUGUGCGUGUUUGAGAAAUACACCUGCAGAUUGACCCGGCGAAAUACAAGAGCAUCUCAUCUGGAUUUAGCGUUCUGCUAAAGGAGCAAGGAGCUAGGGGAUUUUUCAGGGGAUGGGUGCCUACCAUGCUUGGUUACAGUGCUCAGGGGGCUUGCAAGUUUGGGUUCUACAAGUUCUUUAAGAAGACCUACUCAGAUAUGGUUGGGCCUGAGAAUGCCGUGAAGUACAUGACCCUAUAAUUUACCUUGUAGGGUCAGCUUCUGCUGAGGUAAUUUUUGAUAUCGCUCUAUGCCCCUUUGAAACUGUCAUGGUCCGUGUGCAGACACAACCUGGAUUUGCUUGUGGGUUGAGUGAUGGGCUUCCCAAGUUCAUCAAAUCUGAGGGUGCUGCUGGGCUUUACAAGGGAAUUGCUCCUCUCUAGGGUCGGCAGAUUCCUUACAAGUGCUUUCUCUCAUCAUUCUGUUAUAGUCUUCUAAUUUGAAUUGUCACUACUAUGGUUGUUUCACAAAUGUGGCCUGCUUUGGAACCAAAUGCUCUAAAGCUGGUCCCCUGUUUCAUCUAAUCGGCCUGUUUGUUUUUCUUUGAUACCAAUUGGCGAUGUUUAGUUACCUUUUCUUCUCCUAUAUGAGCAAACUACUAUCCUAUUGAUGGCCAACCAUGCUGAUACUAUUCUAUAUUAGUUUUACCAUUUCUAUUUGUUGCCUAGCUUACGGACAUUAUUCAUCGACUCCUUAGAGUCAUUCACUCCACAGUUUCGAUGGAAGUUUUUAGCUGAAACUCCAAAAUUCACUUUUCUUGCCAAAAGUAAAUAUGUUAGCCAGACAUGAGAUUACUGUAUGUAUGUCCAUCCACACUUGCGCUGCAGCAGAAGAGAACAACUUAGCAUAUAUGACCCACACAAUAAUAAAGAAUAAAGAAAAGGAUUAGAUAUUUUUAUAUAGUAUAAAUAAUAAAGAAGCGUGACCCCAGACUGUUAAAUAUGUGAUAUAUAUCCAAAGGAGAGUGAAGAUAGCUUUUUUGUUGUGCUGCCAACUGGGUUAACAAAUUCAGAUUAUGUUAUUGUUCUGUACAACAAUACCUUGCUAAACGAUGGACGUCCUCAGCGAAGAAAGCCAUGUCCAUGACCCUCUAAAGAAGAAAGAACACAAGCCAUAAGAAACAAAUGCACUUUCAUAUACUUAGUAGAAGUCGACUCCAAGUGAAAAUGAGGAGUGCAUAGCCGGUUACCAUCUAAAGAUAUUGGCAUCAGAAAUCCUCAAACACCUCCUUGAACAGUUAAAUUGCAGGACAAGUUUACAUAGACUAUUUUGUAAAUUGCAAUUACUGAAUAUGAGCACACGAGCAAACAACCAGACAGUAACGGCCUAAUGGGCAGUGAUUAUUCAUGAGUGUCAUCCCAUAGAAUGUUCAAAUUCACUAAAAUAAGCCAAUUCAGCCCUUAACAGUCUAGCAGAACAUCUCUCACAGAUUUUGCCACUGAUUCGUGAGUGGGGAGGAUAUAGAUGCCAGGCGGGAUAUGGUGAGAUACAAUGCCGAUGUCUAACGACAGCAGUGGGUCGAGCGACACGGGCUUCUGUCCAGCGACGCCAAGAAAGAAGCGGUUGAAUGUUGUUUCAUUCCCCACGCGGCUGAAUCCAACUCGGUCUUUAUCCUGCCUUGGAGUUCUCUCUCAUAACUGAAGCCAGGAGGUAUGGAAGUUGUUGGUGUGGUGACCGCCGUAGGGCCCGGGCUGACUGGCAGGAACAUUGGGGAUGUUGUCGCCUACGCAGGCAAGCCGAUGGGCUCUUAUGCCAAAGAGCAGGUUAUUUCAGCCAAUGUUGGUUCCCAUCACGCCUUUGAUUGAUCACACAGCGGCUGCUAUCGUGCUGAAGGGGAUGACUGUCCAUAUGCUGGUUCACCACAUAUUUAAGGUACAUUUUGUCUUGCUCCUGCUGUGUGACAUACUGACCUGCUGCACAUCCGCGUGAAGCACACCCACCCGCUGCCGGAGGCGUCCCGCGCCCACGCUGACUUCAAAGCCCGGAAGACGCCGGGCUCCAUACUGCUGACCCUAUAGAACUAAGCACCGUCAUCUUUUUUGGGUAGGAGAAGAAGGCAUAAACAGGGGACUCGGCGAAGAAUCUACAAUGCUUGUCAAUAUGUUUGCAUCUGAACACUGAAUCCUUUGUCUCUCUGUUUCUCCUGGUUAUGUUGGAUUCAGUAUGAGUGAGUGUGUUUGUUGGUUAUGAGUUGGAUCGUGGUCUUGCUGUGCACAUCAUUGUUUGAAGCAUGACGAGUUGUAAAGACCAACAUUUUUCAAAAUAGUGACCUAGCAGGACAAGUA